GGGGAAUAUUGCACAAUGGGGGAAACCCUGAUGCAGCAACGCCGCGUGAGUGAUGAAGGCCUUCGGGUUGUAAAGCUCUGUCUUUGGGGACGAUAAUGACGGUACCCAAGGAGGAAGCCACGGCUAACUACGUGCCAGCAGCCGCGGUAAUACGUAGGUGGCAAGCGUUGUCCGGAUUUACUGGGCGUAAAGGGAGCGUAGGUGGAUAUUUAAGUGGGAUGUGAAAUCCCCGGGCUUAACCUGGGGGCUGCAUUCCAAACUGGAUAUCUAGAGUGCAGGAGAGGAGAGUGGAAUUCCUAGUGUAGCGGUGAAAUGCGUAGAGAUUAGGAAGAACACCAGUGGCGAAGGCGACUAGCUGGACUGUAACUGACACUGAGGCUCGAAAGCGUGGGGAGCAAACA
rnacentral:rRNA from 1 species